GAUGAACGCUGGCGGCGUGCCUAAUACAUGCAAGUCGAGCGAACAGAUGAGGAGCUUGCUCCUCUGACGUUAGCGGCGGACGGGUGAGUAACACGUGGAUAACCUACCUAUAAGACUGGGAUAACUUCGGGAAACCGGAGCUAAUACCGGAUAAUAUAUUGAACCGCAUGGUUCAAUAGUGAAAGACGGUUUUGCUGUCACUUAUAGAUGGAUCCGCGCCGCAUUAGCUAGUUGGUAAGGUAACGGCUUACCAAGGCAACGAUGCGUAGCCGACCUGAGAGGGUGAUCGGCAAAACUGGAAGUGAGACACGGUCCAGACUCCUACGGGAGGCAGCAGUAGGGAAUCUUCCGCAAUGGGCGAAAGCCUGACGGAGAAACGCCGCGUGAGUGAUGAAGGUCUUCGGAUCGUAAAACUCUGUUAUUAGGGAAGAACAAAUGUGUAAGUAACUAUGCACGUCUUGACGGUACCUAAUCAGAAAGCCACGGCUAACUACGUG
rnacentral:rRNA from 1 species